rnacentral:lncRNA from 1 species
UAAGAGAUUGUAUGUUUAGAUAUCGUUUCAGAUAAUUGUAAAUGGAAUGGCGUCACAUUAAACCCUCUCAAAUUCUCAAUCUAUCCCCACAUGUAUAGCUCAUGAAUUUUAUAGUUAUCAAAACUCACCAAUUCUCUUUUGUGAGUUUUCAACUAAUUAUCUCAGUUCAUCAACUUGAGCCAACAGUACUAACAUGUCUCUAAUAACAAUUGUGCACAUAAAUUGUAUUGAAUGUCAUUUUUAUCAAACAGAGAGAGACAAAGUGAUACCCAACAAUAAUAAAAAUUACAAACUUCCAAACAUAUGUAGUUACCUCCUUAAGGAUCAUAAAUUGUGCACAUCAAACAAAUGAAAAAGUAGCUUCAAGCUUAAGGCUAUUUAUUUAACAAGAGUUUCGUAAGCGUUAGCUUCUUUACCUAAUGUCAAAAUUAAUAGAAUAAAAAUAUAUUUAAAAAAAACAACUUUAAAAAUGAAAUUGCAUCAUAUAACAUGUCCAUAUAUUCUUCAAUGAAAACGAGAUAAACAUUUUCUUCCAAAAUUAUGCAACCACAGAGGAACAAAUUUUUUUAAAAAAAUCCAAACUUGAAUCAUGCAAAUCCCUCGCACGUUCGUGAUCAUUCAAUUUCACAAUUCAAAAACCAUAAAUAAUAGUAUUAUAAAGGAGAUAGAAUCAAAACCCUGGAAAAGUAAAAGCAGAUCGGAAUCAAAUGUACCUGGAACUGUUGCGAUUGAUGAGAGAAAAAAAUAAAAUUUAAUAAGGUUGAUCGAUUGAAUGUAGAUAUUAUAUACAGAGAGAGGGUGGUAUCGAAGGGUACCGAGAAGAAAGGAGAUGAAUGGCGAUGUUUUCGGUCUCCCCACGUUGUUGGGUUGGGCGAAGGUUGCGUAGCGUCUACGAGUAGGCGGCUGCACUGUUUUCAAAUUUUUC